GGAAUAUAGUCAAGGAUACUCACAAUGGCAAGUUGCAGUUCACUCUCACUACUCUGAUCUCUUGAAGCCGACAAAUGGGAGUUACCACCCCACAUUCUAGAUUGGAAAACUGAGAUCUAGAGUGAUUACCCAAGUAAGGACCAGAAUAAAGACCAACAGUAACAG